rnacentral:rRNA from 1 species
GAUGAACGCUGGCGGCGUGCCUAAUACAUGCAAGUCGAGCGAACGGACGAGAAGCUUGCUUCUCUGAUGUUAGCGGCGGACGGGUGAGUAACACGUGGAUAACCUACCUAUAAGACUGGGAUAACUUCGAGAAACCGUAGCUAAUACCGGAUAAUAUUUUGAACCGCAUGGUUCAAAAGUGAAAGACGGUCUUGCUGUCACUUAUAGAUGGAUCCGCGCUGCAUUAGCUAGUUGGUAAGGUAACGGCUUACCAAGGCAACGAUGCAUAGCCGACCUGAGAGGGGGGAGCGACACAAUGGGAGCGGAGCCGGGGCCAGGCCUCCAGGGGAAGGCGGAAGGGGGGAUUCUGCGGCAAGGGGCAAAGCCGGAGGGAGACACCCCGGCGGGGGUAAAGAGGGUUUUGGAAUCGAAAAACUUUUUUAUAGGGGAAAAAAAUUUUGGAAAGAACCUGUCCACUUUUGGGCGGACCCAAAGAAGAAAGCCACGGCAAACUACGUC